AUCGGUACCGUCAAAUAUGUCCCAUUUCCUGAACAUACCUUUCUUCCCGAAUAAAAGAACUUUACAAUCCGAAGACCUUCUUCGUUCACGCGGCAUUGCUCGGUCAGGGUUUCCCCCAUUGCCGAAAAUUCCC
rnacentral:rRNA from 1 species